UGCCGCGUGAAUGAUGAAGGUCUUAGGAUUGUAAAAUUCUUUCACCGGGGACGAUAAUGACGGUACCCGGAGAAGAAGCCCCGGCUAACUUCGUGCCAGCAGCCGCGGUAAUACGAAGGGGGCUAGCGUUGCUCGGAAUUACUGGGCGUAAAGGGAGCGUAGGCGGAUAGUUUAGUCAGAGGUGAAAGCCCAGGGCUCAACCUUGGAAUUGCCCUUGAUACUGGCUAUCUUGAGUACGGAAGAGGUAUGUGGAACUCCGAGUGUAGAGGUGAAAUUCGUAGAUAUUCGGAAGAACACCAGUGGCGAAGGCGACAUACUGGUCCGUUACUGACGCUGAGGCUCGAAAGCGUGGGGAGCAAACAGGAUUAGAUACCCUGGUAGUCCACGCUGUAAACGAUGAGUGCUAGUUGUCGGCAUGCAUGCAUGUCGGUGACGCAGCUAACGCAUUAAGCACUCCGCCUGGG
rnacentral:rRNA from 1 species